CUAUUGGAGGGCAAGUCUGGUGCCAGCAGCCGCGGUAAUUCCAGCUCCAAUAGCGUAUAUUAAAAUUGUUGCGGUUAAAACGUUCGUAGUUGAACUUGUGCUUCAUACGGGUAGUAUGCCUAAAAUUUGGGUUUAUACGUUACCUAUUGUAUGCUAAGCGUAUUACUGGUGGAUGUUUGUAUAUUGUAUGUAUACAAUAUAUGUAUUAAUAUAUUUCUCCUAUUAAACCUGACUCAAUGCUCUUCACCGAGUGUUGUUUUGGGCCAGUACUGUUACUUUGAACAAAUUAGAGUGCUUAAAGCAGGCUCUUAAUGCCUGAAUAUUCUGUGCAUGGAAUAAUGGAAGAAGACCUCUGUUCUAAUUUCAUUGGUUUUUAGAUCAAGAGGUAAUGAUUAAUAGAAGCAGUUGGGGGCAUUAGUAUUACGACGCGAGAGGUGAAAUUCUUGGACCGUCGUAAGACUAACUUAAGCGAAAGCAUUUGCCAAAGAUGUUUUCAUUAAUCAAGAACGAAAGUUAGAGGUUCGAAGGCGAUCAGAUACCGCCCUAGUUCUAACCAUAAACGAUGCCAACCAGCAAUUGGGUGUAGCUACUACUAUGGCUCUCUCAGUCGCUUCCCGGGAAACCAAAGUUUUUGGGCUCCGGGGGAAGUAUGGUUGCAAAGCUGAAACUUAAAGGAA
rnacentral:rRNA from 1 species